rnacentral:misc_RNA from 1 species
GAUGAAGAACGUAGUGAAAUGCGAUACGUAGUGUGAAUUGCAGAAUUCCGUGAACCAUCAAAUCUUUGAACGCAUAUUGCGCUCGAGGCUUCGGCCGAGAGCAUGUCUGCCUCAGCGUCGGUAUUACCCCUCGCUUCUCAACCCCUGGUUGAUGCCUGCCUGCCUUUGCAGUUGGCUAGAAGCGGAUCUGGCUUUCCCAAUUGCCUUUGGUAGUUGGGUCAGCUGAAGCACAGAGGCUUGAGCAAGGACCCUUAUUGGGCUUCAACUGGAUAGGUAGAACUGGUCUUAGGACCAACUACACGAAGUUGUUGCUUGUGGUCUUUGUCUGGAGACCAGCAGGAAACCUUUAUACCUUCGACCUGAGCUCAGGCAAGAUUACCCGCUGAACUUAAGCAUAUCAAUAAGCGGAGGA